rnacentral:rRNA from 1 species
CCUACGGGAGGCAGCAGUGGGGAAUAUUGCACAAUGGGGGAAACCCUGAUGCAGCGACGCCGCGUGAGUGAAGAAGUACUUCGGUAUGUAAAGCUCUAUUAGUAGGGAAGUAAAUGACGGCACCUGAUCAAGAAUCCCCGGCUAACUACGUGCCAGCAGCCGCGGUAAUACGUAGGGGGCGAGCGUAAUCCGGAUUUACUGGGUGUAAGGGGAGCGUAGACGGGAGGACAAGUCUGGAGUGAAAUGCUGGGGCUUAACCGCGAAAUUGCAUUGGAAACUGUGAGGCUAGAGUGCAGGUGAGGUAGGUGGAAUUCGUGGUGUAGCGGUGAAAUGCGUAGAUAUUAGGAAGAACACCGAUGGCGAAGGCAGCUUACUAAACUGUAACUGACAUUGAGGCUCGAAAGCGUGGGGAGCAAACAGGAUUAGAUACCCCAGUAGUC